UAGGGAAUCUUCCGCAAUGGACGCAAGUCUGACGGAGCAACGCCGCGUGAGUGAAGAAGGAUUUCGGUUCGUAAAACUCUGUUGUUAGAGAAGAACAGCGUAUAGAGUAACUGUUAUGCGUGUGACGGUAUCUAACCAGAAAGCCACGGCUAACUACGUGCCAGCAGCCGCGGUAAUACGUAGGUCCCGAGCGUUGUCCGGAUUUAUUGGGCGUAAAGCGAGCGCAGGCGGUUAGAAAAGUCUGAAGUGAAAGGCAGUGGCUCAACCAUUGUAGGCUGUGGAAACUGUGUAACAUGGGUGCAGAAGGGGAGAGUGGAAUUCCAUGUGUAGCGGUGAAAGGCGUAGAUAUGUGGAGGAACACCGGUGGCGAAAGCGGCUCUCUGGUCUGUAACUGACGCUGAGGCUCGAAAGCGUGGGGAGCGAACAGG
rnacentral:rRNA from 1 species